ACGUUCAACCGCAAAACAAGCAGAGGGGGCUUAGUGGUGGGGUGACUGCGUACCUUUUGUAUAAUGGGUCAGCGACUUAUAUUCUGUAGCAAGGUUAACCGAAUAGGGGAGCCGGAGGGAAACCGAGUCUUAAUUGGGCGUUAAGUUGCAGGGUAUAGACCCGAAACCCGGUGAUCUAGCCAUGGGCAGGUUGAAGGUUGGGUAACACUAACUGGAGGACCGAACCGACUAAUGUUGAAAAAUUAGCGGAUGACCUGUGGCUGGGGGUGAAAGGCCAAUCAAACCGGGAGAUAGCUGGUUCUCCCCGAAAGCUAUUUAGGUAGCGCCUCGUGAAUUCAUCUCCGGGGGUAGAGCACUGUUUCGGCUAGGGGGCCAUCCCGGCUUACCAACCCGAUGCAAACUGCGAAUACCGGAGAAUGUUAUCACGGGAGACACACGGCGGGUGCUAACGUCCGUCGUGAAGAGGGAAACAACCCAGACCGCCAGCUAAGGUCCCAAAGUCAUGGUUAAGUGGGAAACGAUGUGGGAAGGCCCAGACAGCCAGGAUGUUGGCUUAGAAGCAGCCAUCAUUUAAAGAAAGCGUAAUAGCUCACUGGUCGAGUCGGCCUGCGCGGAAGAUGUAACGGGGCUAAACCAUGCACCGAAGCUGCGGCAGCGAACGUAUCACCCAAGACAA
rnacentral:rRNA from 1 species